CACACGCCUCUCGCUACAAAUUGAACAGGCGCUAGCGCCUGAUUGGUGGACCGGCGGGUGGCAAAGCUGGCUCUGAUUGGCUUAUUCUGGCACUUCGGGGUUACAAUUAUUCAGCCAAAAUGGCCGCCGCUGGAUGUUGUCGAGGACUGUGUUUUCCUGACUUUUGCGUAAUUUCUCAGCGAAACAGUAGAUCUACAGUGAGUUCAUUCCAAGACAUACAGAUUACUAGUACUUGAUAACACCAGGUCAAAAAAGGUGGAAGGAAACUUCAUGACUACAACAAGUGAUGUGCAUGUGAUAAUGACCAGGUAGGGCAUCCAUAUGUGAUAGGGAACAGGUAGGGCAUCCAUACUAUUGGGACCAUGUAGUGCAUCCAUACUAUUGGGACCAGUUAGGGCAUCCUUGCAAUAGGACAUGAGGGCUCAAAAUUCAUUUUUGGGAUUAGUUAUUGGUUAACUAAUUAAGUUACAGAUGAUAGUAACUAGGUAGGGCACUGUAUGGGUAAUAGGGACAAGGUAGGGCACUUUAUGGGUGUAUAGUAUAGGGAGAGGGUUUAUAUAUAAGGGGACUUUAUGGAUGGAGCUGUGUAAGUUCUAACUAAACAAAUUCUAGGUAGAGGUACACGGGUUUAGGUACAGGUCCAGACCUGACUUUCUUGUUCAAAUAAUGAUUGAUCUUUGAUCACACCAAAUGCAUGUUCGAACUGAUACCUAAGCGUGUUUAAUUGUAGGAUCUAUAAUUCCCCACCACCAAUACCACCAGUAGGGAUUACUAGUAGUAGUAGUUUAUGGAAACAAAGCCAAAAAUCAUCCACAUGUUGCCAACAAGAAAAUUUGAUUGCAUUUUCUUCCUGAAUGCUAGCAUGUUUACAAAAUGUGAAAACUUCUGUCAGUUCCUUCGUGUUGGCUAAGUAAUAGACAAGCAGUCCUUCUGUGUAUACAUGUGUUGUAGGUACAGUACUUGUAUGCCAGGGUUCGGUUAUUUUCGACCUGUUCCUUAAUUGAUUGUACUGGUACUGUAUUGGUACAGUCUAUAACGUUACGUAUACCAGUACACAGCUCUAUGUAUGGGUGAUAGGGACUAGUUAGGGCAUCUGUACAUGAUAGGGGCUAGGUAGAGCUUUUUAUAUAGGUGGUAGGUUCUGUUUUUGAGAAACUGCCUUUCUUUGAUUGGUUAUGCACUGUUCCAUCAGUCUGGAACUCUAAUGUUCUUGACUAAUGCAACAUUGCAAAAGGUGUCAUUUCA